UUGUCUUUAUUCUUCAUAGCUAUGGACAUAAAUGAUGCGCUACAUACCUGCCACGUAGUGACCAGACUAUAACCAAGCCGGAUGAAAACACGACAACAAAAAGUAGACGCCACAAAUUACUGUCUCUUUUAUCUUAGUCGGCUUAAACAACGAAGGCAGUUCACACUCUUGGGCUGUGUGGUAGGUAGGCACGAGAUGAUGCUCUGACUGUGUAGACAAGAACAGAUAAUAACCCUCUCUGGACCAUCACCAAGGAGACCGAAACUCCAGAGGGUUGCCUGCAGUGUUUGCUGUGAGAAAGAAUCUCUCAGGUGUGUGUCCGAUUUGUACACUGGCAAUGGGCAGAUUCUGCAAAUGCAACGGGAGACUGCUGUGCAUGUGCCUGCUGCCUUGCAUGAUGACCGGCCACCUUCUGGUUUAUAUCCUGGUGACCAUAUUGGUCACCAUCUCCUACACUCCCCCGAAAAUAUCAGUCCACUAUAUUGCCUCUGGGAUUUCUGCUAACUCCUCUGUGUUCGCCUCUCACCCACUUGGCCCUUUCUGGAACCUUCGUCUAGUGAACAGUGCACUAUGGAACCAAUUGCAGCAUGCUUGGGACCGUCAGUACAACCCAAUACUGCAAGGAAACAAGACUGGGAUCAUGAGCGCUAAGUUUUUAUCAGAAAUCGAAGAUGAAUGCCUUUCUGACUGCAUGUCACACACAUGUGCAGUCCCUCAUAUGCAUGAUUUAAACAGCAUGCCAGAACAAAUGAGGGCAUUUAUAUGGUCAAUGCACUGCAGGGAGUAUCCUCUCCUUGUCAAUCAACCUGGCAUGUGUAGGAGGAACAAUAGCAGCUUUGGCCCCAUGCUCCUAAUGGCCAUCAAAUCUCAAGUGGGGAAUUUUGAAAACAGACAGGCCAUCCGUGAAACGUGGGGACGCAGUGGUCUGGUGAAGGGGGAAUCAAAUAAGAAGGGCGGAUUAGUUCGUACCGUGUUCCUGCUCGGAAGGCAGGAUUCGAGUACAGGUCCUCACCCUAACCUCCAAAACCUCCUGGAUCUUGAGAACCAGAAAUACGGUGAUAUCCUACAGUGGGAUUUCAGAGACACGUUCUUUAACUUGACCCUAAAGGACUUGCUGUUCUGGCAUUGGCUCCAUCAAUACUGCCCCACAGCCAUCUUCGUGUUCAAAGGGGACGAUGAUGUGUUUGUUCGAACAGGCGCCCUCCUGGAUUACCUGCACAAGCAGUGGGAGAAGCACAACCAGUGGAAAGCCUACACAAACAAGACUGACAUGGAUUUGUUCGUGGGGGAUGUGAUCAAUAACGCAAUGCCAAACCGUGAGCCAUCCACUAAAUACUACAUCCCGGAACGUUUCUACAAAGGCAGGUACCCACCGUACGCCGGUGGUGGAGGGGUGGUGUAUUCCGGCUCACUUGCAUUACGAUUGAAAGAGGUGUCUGAGAAGGUGCGCCUUUUUCCAAUAGACGAUGUGUAUCUGGGCAUGUGCAUGCACAGACUCGGCCUCUUGCCAAGCCAUCACCCGGGUUUUUUAACAUUUGAUCUCCCUGGGACAGACAGGGGAGAUCCCUGUGCUUACAGAUCCGUUCUGCUCGUUCACAGACGGAGUCCCAAGGAGAUGCUGACACUAUGGAAGCAGCUCCAGAGUCCGCCAGGUCGAUGCUGAGGCUCGUUUGCCUACCAAAUAGGACUCAUUGAGUACAGGAUGAAUGCUGCCACCACACUAUACACACUAUGACUACAAGCAGGCGAUACCCUGUGAAGGUCACAUGCAAAUAACCUUUCCUCCCAAGAGUUACGUAACACUGAGGAGGAGACUCAUCUACCUCAAAGGGUACUCAUAUUAUGAGGGUGUUACACAAUAAGGGCGCAUGCAUGCAACUUAUAAAAAUCAAUACAGAAACAAAGGUACAAAAAAGAAGAAGAAAGGAAACUACAAGAACCAUCUUCAUUUACCCUGCUGGCAGACAAAGAGGAGGAGAUGGGAAAUGAAACCCCAGAUGACGAGUCUCUUAAGGGGAACAUGAAAGAUGUUGCAGAAAAACACACACCAAAAAGUGAAGACAGAUAAAACACUGUGUGUGUGUCCACACCUAACAAUUUCCCCUCCUCUUCUCUUCUAUUUAUUGUAUUACAGCCUCUUUAUG